GACGAACGCUGGCGGCGUGCUUAACACAUGCAAGUCGAACGGAAAGGCCCUGCUUUUGUGGGGUGCUCGAGUGGCGAACGGGUGAGUAACACGUGAGUAACCUGCCCUUGACUUUGGGAUAACUUCAGGAAACUGGGGCUAAUACCGGAUAGGAGCUCCUGCUGCAUGGUGGGGGUUGGAAAGUUUCGGCGGUUGGGGAUGGACUCGCGGCUUAUCAGCUUGUUGGUGGGGUAGUGGCUUACCAAGGCUUUGACGGGUAGCCGGCCUGAGAGGGUGACCGGCCACAUUGGGACUGAGAUACGGCCCAGACUCCUACGGGAGGCAGCAGUGGGGAAUAUUGCACAAUGGGCGGAAGCCUGAUGCAGCAACGCCGCGUGCGGGAUGACGGCCUUCGGGUUGUAAACCGCUUUCGCCUGUGACGAAGCGUGAGUGACGGUAAUGGGUAAAGAAGCACCGGCUAACUACGUGCCAGCAGCCGCGGUGAUACGUAGGGUGCGAGCGUUGUCCGGAUUUAUUGGGCGUAAAGGGCUCGUAGGUGGUUGAUCGCGUCGGAAGUGUAAUCUUGGGGCUUAACCCUGAGCGUGCUUUCGAUACGGGUUGACUUGAGGAAGGUAGGGGAGAUUGGAAUUCCUGGUGGAGCGGUGGAAUGCGCAGAUAUCAGGAGGAACACCAGUGGCGAAGGCGGUUCUCUGGGCCUUUCCUGACGCUGAGGAGCGAAAGCGUGGGGAGCGAACAGGCUUAGAUACCCUGGUAGUCCACGCUGUAAACGGUGGGUACUAGGUGUGGGGUCCAUUCCACGGGUUCCGUGCCGUAGCUAACGCUUUAAGUACCCCGCCUGGGGAGUACGGCCGCAAGGCUAAAACUCAAAGGAAUUGACGGGGCCCCGCACAAGCGGCGGAGCAUGCGGAUUAAUUCGAUGCAACGCGUAGAACCUUACCUGGGUUUGACAUGGAUCGGGAGUGCUCAGAGAUGGGUGUGCCUCUUUUGGGGUCGGUUCACAGGUGGUGCAUGGCUGUCGUCAGCUCGUGUCGUGAGAUGUUGGGUUAAGUCCCGCAACGAGCGCAACCCUUGUUCACUGUUGCCAGCACGUUAUGGUGGGGACUCAGUGGAGACCGCCGGGGUCAACUCGGAGGAAGGUGGGGAUGACGUCAAGUCAUCAUGCCCCUUAUGUCCAGGGCUUCACGCAUGCUACAAUGGCUGGUACAGAGAGUGGCGAGCCUGUGAGGGUGAGCGAAUCUCGGAAAGCCGGUCUCAGUUCGGAUUGGGGUCUGCAACUCGACCUCAUGAAGUCGGAGUCGCUAGUAAUCGCAGAUCAGCAACGCUGCGGUGAAUACGUUCCCGGGGCU
rnacentral:rRNA from 1 species